CAAUACCUUUGCCGGCGACCGGCGCACGGGUGAGUAACACGUAUCCAACCUGCCUCAUACUCGGGGAUAGCCUUUCGAAAGAAAGAUUAAUAUCCGAUAGCAUAUAUUUCCCGCAUGGGUUUUAUAUUAAAGAAAUUCGGUAUGAGAUGGGGAUGCGUUCCAUUAGUUUGUUGGGGGGGUAACGGCCCACCAAGACUACGAUGGAUAGGGGUUCUGAGAGGAAGGUCCCCCACAUUGGAACUGAGACACGGUCCAA
rnacentral:rRNA from 1 species